GGUUGGUGGAGACAUAAAGAUAUGCUGGCUGAAUGAUUCCCCAGUGAACUCUAGCCCAAUCUCUGCCUAAAUCCAGAGGUGGAGUCUGUGGCUAGGAUGUGGACAGUCUGUAUGAAGCAGGACCCUGGGUAAGAGACUCACAGUCAGUGGCUGUGGGAUUCUUUUGGUGCAAGGCAUCUUCUGCGUUUCUGGAAGUCAACCUCCUCAGAGCCUUGAGGCUUGAACUGACACUUACACAGGGAGAAUUAUGACCUGGGGGGAAAUCUUAGCCCCAAAGUUAGGUGGCUUAGGACAAGUCUCCCGGUGCCACUAUUGUAUCAGUUCCACGUGCCUACUGAAGACUGACCAGAAGAGUGCAUUGAAAACAUGGAUGAUAACAGGAUAGCUCUCUUGACAGCUUUGAGUUCCCCAAAGACUGUGCCUCCAAUGAAAUGUGAUGCUAUGCAGACAGCCUCCAACCCUGAGCCUGCAAUGCAGAAGGUGCCGAUCAACUGUUAGAUGUUGUCUCUACUAUGAACUCAAUGAAGACACCAAAGCCACAAA